UAAACCCUGUUUACCCGAAGUCUGACGUUAUGCGUCAGAUACAUGUAUAGGCCAAAUGGGGUUUU
rnacentral:sRNA from 1 species